rnacentral:rRNA from 1 species
UACGUAGGGUGCAAGCGUUGUCCGGAAUUAUUGGGCGUAAAGAGCUUGUAGGCGGUUUGUCGCGUCUGCUGUGAAAUUUCGGGGCUCAACCCCGAACUUGCAGUGGGUACGGGCAGACUAGAGUGUGGUAGGGGAGACUGGAAUUCCUGGUGUAGCGGUGAAAUGCGCAGAUAUCAGGAGGAACACCGGUGGCGAAGGCGGAUCUCUGGGCCUGUUCUGACGCUCAGGCACGAAAGCGUGGGGAGCAAACAGG